GUAGUCUCGCACAGAUGCAUAUCAAUAAGCGGAGGAAAAGAAACUAACAAGGAUUCCCCUAGUAACGGCGAGUGAAGCGGGAAGAGCUCAAAUUUGAAAUCUUAAAGGGUUUCCCUUUACGAAUUGUAGUUUAAAGAAGUGUUUUCUGUUGAGGUUUUGGUAAAAGUUCUUUGGAAUAGGACAUCAUAGAGGGUGAGAAUCCCGUAUUUGACCUUUACUUUCAACUUUGUGAUACACUUUCAAAGAGUCGGAUUGUUUGGGAAUGCAGUCCAAAAUGGGUGGUAAAUUUCAUCUAAAGCUAAAUAUUGGCGAGAGACCGAUAGCGAACAAGUACCGUGAGGGAAAGAUGAAAAGAACUUUGAAAAGAGAGUUAAACAGUACGUGAAAUUGUCAAAAGGGAAGCGUUUGACACCAGUGUUGUUUUUCUGAAAAUCAAUUAAAGAACUGUUUAUGCUAAGCUGUUUAGACUUUAUCAGCUAUCUGCUUAGUUUUGAGCUUGUCUUUAAUGCACUUUUCAGUUAACAAGUCAACAUCAAUUUCUUUUGCUGUAAAAAAGCUUGAGGAAGGUGGCUUGAGAUUCGUCUUAAGUGUUUAUAGCCUCUUGCCUAUGCAGUCGGAGAGAUUGAGGUCUGCAGCGUAGAUCCUUCGGGGCUAAAUGCAUUUGUGCUAAGUUAUAGCAUUUUAUAGACAACUUGUUGACUAUGAUUUGUCUUGUAGCUUACUCGCUUAUGUUAUUUUACCUACGCUUAGGAUGUUGACGCAUGAGAUAUACGC
rnacentral:rRNA from 1 species